CCGGCGCACGGGUGAGUAACGCGUAUGCAACCUGCCCGUUUCAGCGGGAUAACCCGGAGAAAUCCGGCCUAAUACCGCAUGUGGCCGAGGGGAGGCAUCUUCUUUUCGGCCAAAGGAGGCGACUCCGGAGACGGAUGGGCAUGCGUGACAUUAGCUAGUUGGCGGGGUAACGGCCCACCAAGGCGACGAUCAGUAGCCGGACUGAGAGGUUGAACGGCCACAUUGGGACUGAGACACGGCCCAGACUCCUACGGAAGGCAGCAG
rnacentral:rRNA from 1 species